GACGAACGCUGGCGGCGUGCUUAACACAUGCAAGUCGAACGAUGAAGCUGGAGCUUGCUCCGGUGGAUUAGUGGCGAACGGGUGAGUAACACGUGAGAAAUCUGCCCUUGACUCUGGGAUAACUGCGGGAAACUGUAGCUAAUACCGGAUAUUUUCCUUGGUGGGCAUCCACUGGGGAAGAAAGAAUUUCGGUCAAGGAUGAUCUCGCGGCCUAUCAGCUAGUUGGUGAGGUAAUGGCUCACCAAGGCGACGACGGGUAGCCGGCCUGAGAGGGUGACCGGCCACACUGGGACUGAGACACGGCCCAGACUCCUACGGGAGGCAGCAGUGGGGAAUAUUGCACAAUGGGCGCAAGCCUGAUGCAGCAACGCCGCGUGAGGGAUGAAGGCCUUCGGGUUGUAAACCUCUUUUAGCAGGGAAGAAGCGAAAGUGACGGUACCUGCAGAAAAAGCACCGGCUAACUACGUGCCAGCCGCCGCGGUAA
rnacentral:rRNA from 1 species